rnacentral:lncRNA from 1 species
AAUUUUGUAGAUUAGUGGUUAUAGUUAUGUUUAAUAUGUGUUGAUAAUUUUAGCUUGAUGUAAUGAUUGAAUUGAGGAUUAUUAAGGUUUAAGUGGAUGACGGUCUCAAAAAGUAGAAUUUUAAAUCUAGUGAGAGUUUAUAAAUUUUUUGUAAUCUACUUAUUGAAUUAGAGUAAAAAAUAUGUAUGUAGGUAGUAGACUUAUUUUUCUACAUUCAUAAAAAAAUUUAAACCAAUUAAACAAUGCAAAAAGAAGAUAUUUGCAAUGAAAGAUUAUCAUCUGUGUAGAAUUUUAAAUAAGAUCAAUAGAUUAAUCAAAAGAUAUUGAGAUUCUAAAUUAUUUUAGGAUUUGAUUUAGGAUUUAGGAUUUGGUAAAGAUUUGGUUAGGAUUUAAUUUAGAAUUUAGGAUUUGAUUAGGAUUUGAUUAGGAUUUCAUUGAGGGUUUAAAAUUUGAUUAGAAUUUGGUUUAGGAUUUAGAAUUUGGUUAAGAUUUGAUUAAGAUUUGAUUUAGGAUUUGAUUGGAUUUUGAUUUAGGAUUUAGGAUUUACUUAGGAUUUGAUUUAGGAUUUAAGAUUUGGUUAGGAUUUGGUUUAGAGUUUAGGAUUUGAUUAGGAUUUGAUUAGGAUUUGAUUUAGGAUUGGAAUUUGAUUAGAAUUUGAUUUAGGAUUUAGAAUUUGGUUAAGAUUUGGUUCGGAUUUGGUUUAGGAUUUGAUUAGGUUUUGAUUUAGGAUUUAAGAUUUAGUUAGGAUUUGAUUUAGGAUUUAAGAUUUGGUUAGGAUUUGGUUUAGAUUUUAGGAUUUGAUUAGGAUUUUUCUAAUAUUUGGUUUAAGAUUUAAGAUUUGAUUAAGAUUUGAUUUAGGAUUUAGGAUUUGUCUAGGAUUUGAUUGAAGUCUAUGAAGGUUUCAACUAGGAUUAAAUUAGAACUUAAUUAAAAUUUAUUUAAAAUAUAUUGUGAUUAUUUUAAUAUUUUUAAGGACUUCUUAAGAAU